UACGGGGGGGGCAAGCGUUGUUCGGAAUUACUGGGCGUAAAGGGCUCGUAGGCGGCCAACUAAGUCAGACGUGAAAUCCCUCGGCUUAACCGAGGAACUGCGUCUGAUACUGGAUGGCUUGAGAUUGGGAGAGGGAUGCGGAAUUCCAGGUGUAGCGGUGAAAUGCGUAGAUAUCUGGAGGAACACCGGUGGCGAAGGCGGCAUCCUGGACCAACACUGAUGCUGAGGAGCGAAAGCCAGGGGAGCAAACGGG
rnacentral:rRNA from 1 species